rnacentral:miRNA from 1 species
AUACAUUCAUUUUGACAUAC